UGCCAAUUAAUUUAACUUGGGAGUCAGAACAUGGGUGAUAAGGUCCGUGUUCGAAAGGGAAACAGCCCAGACCACCAGCUAAGGUCCCAAAAUAUAUGUUAAGUGGAAAAGGAUGUGGCGUUGCCCAGACAACUAGGAUGUUGGCUUAGAAGCAGCCAUCAUUUAAAGAGUGCGUAAUAGCUCACUAGUCGAGUGACACUGCGCCGAAAAUGUACCGGGGCUAAACAUAUUACCGAAGCUGUGGAUUGUCCUUUGGACAAUGGUAGGAGAGCGUUCUAAGGGCGUUGAAGCAUGAUCGUAAGGACAUGUGGAGCGCUUAGAAGUGAGAAUGCCGGUGUGAGUAGCGAAAGACGGGUGAGAAUCCCGUCCACCGAUUGACUAAGGUUUCCAGAGGAAGGCUCGUCCGCUCUGGGUUAGUCGGGUCCUAAGCUGAGGCCGACAGGCGUAGGCGAUGGAUAACAGGUUGAUAUUCCUGUACCACCUAUAAUCGUUUUA
rnacentral:rRNA from 1 species